CCGGCGUUCACGCUGUGAACCAGCGAACUAGGCCACCGGCCUGACCCAGUUUUCCCUGUGGCCUGCCAAGCCAAGGAGAAGCAGACGCGGCCGGCGCAGGCGUCCAGGGUGACUCGGAGGCGUGGCUCUGCAGUCGCGGCUCUGCAGUCGCCUUGGAGCGGCUGCCCUUCCGACCCCGCCUGGGCUAUGACUCAUCUUCGGUGGAGGAGAAAGGGGCCUUUGUGAGCGCCCAGCUCCGGCGUCUCCUGGACAGCACCGCCCUCCGGUGGCCGCGAGUCAGGAGGGCUGGGGAAGCCGCCCGAGAGGCAGCGCCCGAGCUCCCCACGAGCUGCUGUGCCAUUGGAAGCGCCAGCGCCCUCCCCUCGGAGUCCAGCCAAGUCGGGGGGAAGACUGGGAGAGAAAUCGUCACCCCCUAGAGGGCAAGUGGGCUCAGCCCUAGGAAAUGCUUGUUUCUCCAGCCCCUCCCAGACGCCCCGGGGAAACGGCAUCCCAGAGCUCCGCUCCCUGGAGGCCCCUCCAGAGAGGGACCCGGGGCCCCGCCCCGCAGCUGGAGAAGGGGUGAAUGCCUUUCCUACCUAACGCCUGGUCCGCGGCCCUGCUUGUUGCGUCUCCAAGACCACGUGUCUGCUGCAUUUUAAAAAUAGUUGUGAACAUCUGACUUUCUCCUUUUGCUGGAGUGCAGUGGCACAAUCUCUGCUCACUGCAACCUCGGCUUCUCAGGUUCAAGCGAGUCUCCUGGCUCAGCCUUCCCAGUAGCUGGGAUUACAGGCGCGUGCCACCAUGCCCGGGUAAGUUUUGCAUUUUUAGUAGAGAUGGGUUUUCGCCAUGUUGACCAGGUUGGUCUUGAAUUCCUGACAUCAAAUGAUCCACCCGCCUCGCCCUCCCAAAGUGCUGGGAUUACAGACGUGGGUCACCAUGCCCAGCCCAGCCUUUCUCUUUUAGUAGAAUAUUUCCUCACUGGUUUGAAAUAUCACUUUGAUUAUAAACUAAAUGCUCGGGCCUAUUUCUGGCCAGGACCCUGACCUUAUACAUUAAGCCAAAGGAUAUGGACUUCUUAAAAAAAUCAUAUUAGGCCGCUAAUUAUGGAUUUAGGACAUUUAUUCACAUUGUUUUAGGCUCCAACUAAAAGCAGGCUUGAAUGAAGCAGCUGCAC
rnacentral:lncRNA from 1 species